GUGUCAGCAGCCGCGGUAAUACGUAGGUGGCAAGCGUUGUCCGGAUUUAUUGGGUUUAAAGGGUGCGUAGGCGGUUUUUUAAGUCAGUGCUGAAAUACUCCAGCUUAACUGGAGGGGUGGCAUUGAUACUGGAAGACUUGAGUACAGAUGAGGUAGGCGGAAUUGACGGUGUAGCGGUGAAAUGCAUAGAUAUCGUCAAGAACACCGAUAGCGAAGGCAGCUUACUGGGCUGUAACUGACGCUGAUGCACGAAAGUGUGGGGAUCAAACAGGAUUAGAAACCCGUGUAGUCC
rnacentral:rRNA from 1 species